rnacentral:rRNA from 1 species
UACAGGGGGGGCAAGCGUUGUUCGGAAUUACUGGGCGUAAAGGGUUCGUAGGUGGCCACUUAAGUCAGACGUGAAAUCCCUCAGCUUAACUGGGGAACUGCGUCUGAUACUGAGUGGCUUGAGUGCAGGAGAGGAAUGCGGAAUUCCAGGUGUAGCGGUGAAAUGCGUAGAUAUCUGGAGGAACACCGAUGGCGAAGGCAGGUCUCUGGGCCACUACUGACGCUGAGAAGCGAAAGCAUGGGGAGCGAACAGG